rnacentral:rRNA from 1 species
CCUACGGGUGGCUGCAGUGGGGAAUAUUGGACAAUGGGGGCAACCCUGAUCCAGCCAUGCCGCGUGUGUGAAGAAGGCCCUCGGGUUGUAAAGCACUUUCAGUGAGGAAGAACGCCUGGUGGUUAAUAGCCAUCAGGAAAGACAUCACUCACAGAAGAAGCACCGGCUAACUCCGUGCCAGCAGCCGCGGUAAUACGGAGGGUGCGAGCGUUAAUCGGAAUUACUGGGCGUAAAGCGCGCGUAGGUGGCUUGAUAAGCCGGUUGUGAAAGCCCCGGGCUCAACCUGGGAACGGCAUCCGGAACUGUCAAGCUAGAGUGCAGGAGAGGAAGGUAGAAUUCCCGGUGUAGCGGUGAAAUGCGUAGAGAUCGGGAGGAAUACCAGUGGCGAAGGCGGCCUUCUGGACUGACACUGACACUGAGGUGCGAAAGCGUGGGUAGCAAACAGGAUUAGAUACCCUUGUAGUC